rnacentral:tRNA from 1 species
GCCUGAGUGGCUCAGUCGGUUAAGCGUCUGACUUCAGCUCGGGUCAUGAUCUCACAGUUCAUGGGUUCGAACCCCACAUUGGGCU